rnacentral:tmRNA from 1 species
GGGGCUGUAACGGUUUCGACGUUCUGGCGAACACUACUUUGUGAUUCAGGUCGAGAGUGAGUCUCCUCUCGAAAAUCAAAGGCUCAAAACAAGUACAUGCGAACAACAUCGUACCUUUUGCUCGUAAGGCAGUAGCUAUUGCCUAAACACCUCUUAUAGGUUCGAGCGUCUAUGGUUUGACUCCGUUAAGGAUCAUAGACCAAACCCCAACGGAUGCUCUAGCCGAUUGUCUCUGGUCGAUCGCUAGCUAAGACUUCACCAGAGCAUCCCACCGUCUGGGAUAAUGGACGGUUCCCGCUUCGAGGAUCAGAGAAGCUAAACCUGUGAAUGAGCGGAGUACUAAUAACUAGGGCGGACACGGGUUCGACUCCCGUCAGCUCCAUUA